GACGUAGGGAGCGAGCGUUAUCCGGAUUCAUUGGGCGUAAAGCGCGCGUAGGCGGCCGCGCAAGUCGGGUGUGAAAACCAGAGGCUCAACCUCUGGCCUGCAUCCGAAACUGCGUAGCUAGAGGUAGGUAGGGGAGAUCGGAAUUCCUGGUGUAGCGGUGAAAUGCGCAGAUAUCAGGAGGAACACCGGUGGCGAAGGCGGAUCUCUGGGCCUUACCUGACGCUGAGGUGCGAAAGCUAGGGGAGCGAACAGG
rnacentral:rRNA from 1 species